rnacentral:rRNA from 1 species
UACGUAGGGUGCAAGCGUUGUCCGGAAUUAUUGGGCGUAAAGAGCUCGUAGGCGGUGUGUUACGUCGGCUGUGAAAACCUGGGGCUUAACCCUGGGCUGGCUUCCGAUACGGGCAGACUAGAGGUAUGCAGGGGAGAACGGAAUUCCUGGUGUAGCGGUGAAAUGCGCAGAUAUCAGGAGGAACACCGGUGGCGAAGGCGGUUCUCUGGGCAGUACCUGACGCUGAGGAGCGAAAGUGUGGGGAGCGAACAGG